UGUUUCUUCUUUAUUCAUAGGGUUAUGAAGACUGGUUACGCCAUAACUCAGAUAAUGAAGUAAAUGGAGCUCCUGUCUAUGUUGUCAGAAGUGGGGGGCUUGUAAAAACUCGAUCCAAAAACAUUCGGGUGGGUGAUAUUGUUCGCAUAGCCAAAGAUGAAAUUUUUCCUGCAGAUUUGGUGCUUCUGUCCUCAGAUCGACUUGAUGGUUCAUGUCAUGUGACAACCGCUAGUUUGGAUGGAGAGACGAACCUAAAGACUCAUGUGUCAGUUCCAGAAACAGCAGUAUUACAAACAGUUGCCAACUUGGACAGUCUCACAGCUGUAAUAGAAUGCCAGCAGCCAGAAGCAGACUUAUACAGGUAU